AACGAACGCUGGCGGCAUGCCUAACACAUGCAAGUCGAACGAGACCUUCGGGUCUAGUGGCGCACGGGUGCGUAACGCGUGGGAACCUGCCCUUAGGUUCGGAAUAACUCCCCGAAAGGGGUGCUAAUACCGGAUAAUGUCUUCGGACCAAAGAUUUAUCGCGUUUGGAUGGGCCCGCGUUGGAUUAGCUUGUUGGUAGGGUAAAAGCCUACCAAGGCGACGAUCCAUAGCUGGUCUGAGAGGAUGAUCAGCCACACUGGGACUGAGACACGGCCCAGACUCCUACGGGAGGCAGCAGUGGGGAAUAUUGGACAAUGGGCGAAAGCCUGAUCCAGCAAUGCCGCGUGAGUGAUGAAGGCCGUAGGGUUGUAAAGCUCUUUUACCCGGGAUGAUAAUGACAGUACCGGGAGAAUAAGCCCCGGCUAACUCCGUG
rnacentral:rRNA from 1 species